AGUGAACGCUGGCGGUAGGCCUAACACAUGCAAGUCGAACGGCAGCACAGUAAGAGCUUGCUCUUACGGGUGGCGAGUGGCGGACGGGUGAGGAAUACAUCGGAAUCUACUUUUUCGUGGGGGAUAACGUAGGGAAACUUACGCUAAUACCGCAUACGACCUACGGGUGAAAGCAGGGGAUCUUCGGACCUUGCGCGAUUGAAUGAGCCGAUGUCGGAUUAGCUAGUUGGCGGGUUAAAGGCCCACCAAGGCGACGAUCCGUAGCUGGACUGAGAGGAUGAUCAGCCACACUGGAACUGAGACACGGUCCAGACUCCUACGGGAGGCAGCAGUGGGGAAUAUUGGACAAUGGGCGCAAGCCUGAUCCAGCCAUACCGCGUGGGUGAAGAAGGCCUUCGGGUUGUAAAGCCCUUUUGUUGGGAAAGAAAAGCAGCAGGUUAAUACCCCGCUGUUCUGACGGUACCCAAAGAAUAAGCACCGGCUAACUUCGUG
rnacentral:rRNA from 1 species